rnacentral:sRNA from 1 species
UCCCUGCGAAGCCUCUUUCCGAGGGUCCAC